rnacentral:rRNA from 1 species
CCCCUAGAUGUUCUGGGCCGCACGCGCGCUACACUGACGAAUGCAACGAGCUUAUAACCUUGGCCGAAAGGUCUGGGUAAUCUCCAAAUUUCGUCGUGAUGGGGAUAGAUUAUUGCAAUUAUUAAUCUUCAACGAGGAAUGCCUAGUAAGCGCAAGUCAUCAGCUUGCGUUGAUUACGUCCCUGCCCUUUGUACACACCGCCCGUCGCUCCUACCGAUUGAAUGGUCCGGUGAAGCGUUCGGACCGUGGCCUUUGGACGGUUCGCCGUCUGUUGGCUGCGGGAAGUUCGUUAAACCUUAUCAUUUAGAGGAAGGAGAANUCGUAACA